rnacentral:rRNA from 1 species
UACGUAUGGUGCAAGCGUUGUCCGGAAUUACUGGGCGUAAAGAGUUCGUAGGCGGUUAGAUCAGUCAGAAGUGAAAGGCUACGGCUCAACCGUAGUAAGCUUUUGAAACUGUCUAACUUGAGUAUUGGAGAGGAAAGUGGAAUUCCUAGUGUAGCGGUGAAAUGCGUAGAUAUUAGGAGGAACACCAGUGGCGAAGGCGACUUUCUGGACAAUUACUGACGCUGAGGAACGAAAGCGUGGGGAGCGAACA